rnacentral:rRNA from 1 species
CGUAAAGAGCUCGUAGGUGGUUUGUCGCGUUGUUCGUGAAAUCUCACGGCUUAACUGUGAGCGUGCGGGCGAUACGGGCAGACUUGAGUACUGCAGGGGAGACUGGAAUUCCUGGUGUAGCGGUGGAAUGCGCAGAUAUCAGGAGGAACACCGGUGGCGAAGGCGGGUCUCUGGGCAGUAACUGACGCUGAGGAGCGAAAGCGUGGGGAGCGAACAGGAUUAGAUACCCUGGUAGUCCACGCCGUAAACGGUGGGUACUUGGUGUGGGUUUCCUUCCUUGGGAUCCGUGCCGUAGCUAACGCAUUAAGUACCCCGCCCGGGGAGUACGGCCGCAAGGCUAAAACUCAAAGAAAUUGACGGGGGCCCGCACAAGCGGCGGAGCAUGUGGAUUAAUUCGAUGCAACGCGAAGAACCUUACCUGGGUUUGACAUGCACAGGACGCCGGCAGAGAUGUCGGUUCCCCUGUGGCCUGUGUGCAGGUGGUGCAUGGCUGUCGUCAGCUCGUGUCGUGAGAUGUUGGGUUAAGUCCCGCAACGAGCGCAACCCUUGUCUCAUGUUGCCAGCGGGUAAUGCCGGGGACUCGUGAGAGACUGCCGGGGUCAACUCGGAGGAAGGUGGGGAUGACGUCAAGUCAUCAUGCCCCUUAUGUCCAGGGCUUCACACAUGCUACAAUGGCCGGUACAAAGGGCUGCGAUGCCGCGAGGUUAAGCGAAUCCUUUUAAAGCCGGUCUCAGUUCGGGUCGGGGUCUGCAACUCGACCCCGUGAAGUCGGAGUCGCUAGUAAUC